rnacentral:rRNA from 1 species
GACGGGCCCCGCACAAGCAGCGGAGCAUGUGGUUAAUUCGAAGCAACGCGAAGACCUUACCAGGUCUUGACAUCCCGAUGCUAUUUCUAGAGAUAGAAAGUUACUUCGGUACAUCGGUGACAGGUGGUGCAUGGUUGUCGUCAGCUCGUGUCGUGAGAUGUUGGGUUAAGUCCCGCAACGAGCGCAACCCCUAUUGUUAGUUGCCAUCAUUCAGUUGGGCACUCUAGCGAGACUGCCGGUAAUAAACCGGAGGAAGGUGGGGAUGACGUCAAAUCAUCAUGCCCCUUAUGACCUGGGCUACACACGUGCUACAAUGGUUGGUACAACGAGUUGCGAGUCGGUGACGGCGAGCUAAUCUCUUAAAGCCAAUCUCAGUUCGGAUUGUAGGCUGCAACUCGCCUACAUGAAGUCGGAAUCGCUAGUAAUCGCGGAUCAGCACGCCGCGGUGAAUACGUUCCCGGGCCUU